rnacentral:lncRNA from 1 species
UUUUCGCGACGUUUCUCUUUCUUCUUCCGCUUCCUUUUCCGUCUCAUUUUCUUCAGGGGGCAUCAUUCAUCGCCUAGAGCCGGUAAGUGUCAGAUGAAACCGAACAUAACUGAAACUUCCACUACGAGACAUCCCAGCUUGGCAUCAACAAUCAAAUAUUCUUCCUCAAUGGUCGGGUUAUUUUUUUUUUUUUAAAUUUUAUCGACUGCUAAUUAUGUCACGCAAUAUCGAGUGCUGUUGAUAGCACGCUCCCGAUUUUAAGGAUACUGCUGCUUACUACACAAUUAUUACGACAGUGAACUGGAUAUAAUGAUGUAUUUUGUUGUUCUAAGCAGUUUUACAUUUUUAUUCAUUUGUUACAUUUAUAUUCAUAUGUGUAUUAGUUUUUAUUUUUUUAAAAUUGUUCAAAUCAAGAUUUGAUUUUUUUAAAAAGUUUAAUAAAUAAAAUUUUAAUUUAUUUGAAAAGUAAUACUUAAAAACUCAGCUUUCAUCUUAUCAACGUAUUACAUUAAUUUCGUGUGAAUCAAAAUAUUUUUUAAUUGUGUAAUGUUUUAUGAUGUGGACGCUAAAAUGGAAAAUGAAUUUAUUCAUUUAAGUAAAAUAUACCUAAAAGUAGAAAACUUCAAAUUAGCCGCCUUUAUCAUCUUAAAUUAAUUCUCAUUUUAAAAUAAUAAAAUAUUAAACUAAAUAAGAAUGAUUAAAAUUUUAAAAAAAAUUUAUUUAGUAUAUGCUUUUAUGAUUUAUUAUUUUUUAUAUUAAUAAAUAAUAUGUUUGAAAUAAAAAAUUAUUUUGAAAAUAAUUUUUAACUUGAAAUGAUUUAUUUAAUACACAUCCUUAAGUUUUAUUGAUUUUAGUACUAAAUAAAUACUAGUAGUAUUUG